rnacentral:miRNA from 14 species
UUUUUUCAAGUUAUUUCUCUGCUUUAUUGCCUGAGUAAGAUAUACUGUACACAUGGGCUGGAGAGAUGGCUCAGCCGUUAAAGGCUAGGCUCACAACCAAAUAUAUA